GUAAGUUUGUGUUAUGCAUUCGGGUGCAACAUGGACCCCGAGGGAGAGACCGGGAGAGACAGAAAUAAUACCAGUUUUUAUCGAGUGUUAUGCCAGUAAGGUCGUUAACAGGAAGAAGACGUAUAUCGACAGCGAAGGACAUAUCAGAAGGGAUUUCCCCGAUUAUCUACCUGCAUGUUUACUCCAUCCCAGACAUGGCCAUCAUGACAAUUUCUUCGAGCAAUGUAAUACGCUGUAACCUAAACAUUCCACGGAGGUGACAUGGCUGGUCGCUAUAAGGGGAUCUUCCCAUUUGGAAGCAUCCUGCUGCCGAAGGAACAAUACAAAAGUGUGGGCUGCUGCGUACGCGAAUCAUCGAGGACCUUGAUCGUACCACAACCGGUCCCCCGAUUCAACGAUCGCUGUCAAGGUUACUCUUCAACAUCUAUAGAAUUCAGGAAAACCGAAUUCGUAACAGAAACAAGGUGACAUGCCUUUCUACGAACGAUAAGUCGACGAUCUUGAAACUUAUUUGAGCAACAAAAAUAAAGGUUUUUCGUGU